GGAGGCAUGUGCAGCCAAAGAACGUCAUCAACGGACGCAGUUUCGCUCUCAUCAUCAACCUGCGACGAUGAUAACCCCAAUGCUUGUUUGUCCUGGAUUGCUGUUUCCGUCACUUUAUUUUAUAAGUGAUGAAUUCGACGUUGUCUCCCGGUGUUCACAUUUGGUGCAAUGCGAACGUUCGCCAGCAUUUCCUCAACUGCUUCCGGAAUCUCCGGCUGAAGCAAAUUGUCAUCGUCUACAGGGAUUGUUUCGAUUCUCCUGUGCUUGUGUCCUUUUUCUGAAGGAGUGCCAUUCUCAAAUGGUGACACCGAUGCAAUUACAACAAAUAGCAAAAAUGUACAAGACACAGGAUUCGUCAAUCAUGGCUACACCGGUGUAAGAGGAACCGAAUUGCAUCCUGGACAAGACAAACCAAGAUCAAGAGACUAAAGCGUUACCUUGACGCUAAAAGUCAGGCAUCGUUUGGCGAGCUCAUCAAUUUGCAUAAUUUUCUCGCAUUCCCCGGGAUAAACACGGUAUCAAGUUUAUGACAAAGCCAUACGACACUACGAUGACUUUAAAACUUACAUGAAUAGAUGCUUAAUUACAGCCAUGACUUGGCAGAUUACUUUCCCUCCCAGUGAUGAAAAUUGAUCAGUUUGGAUCGUGUCAACCAUUUGUGGCUUUUCUUUGUAAAUGUUAAGUUCACUGUAGUGCUUUUAAACUAGCAGUAAUAGAGUUGAAAAUUUUUAUUUCUCAAAAUAUAUUAGAACGGGAUAAUAAUGAGAGAAAAAAUAAACGUUUAUGUCGCAUGUUUUUUGAAGACUUUGCG